AAACUGCUUCUGUACACCUCUGAUUCCACCAAGGCGACCAAGGAUAUUUAAAAGAUUUUUGUGAACAAGAACUAGUAGCAUUAUUACUAUUAGAACUUUUGGAAAACAGACAGCUAGGGAUUGACUGCUUGGCAGCAGAAAGUAAAAUAUUACAAAUGGAAUUAAAAGCAUCUAUUGAAGAUAAAGUGUCAAAUUUAACAUCAUCCAAAUAAGAAACAACUAAGUUACUAUACAUAUUCCAAUUCACCUGCUUAUAAUUAGGGGAGAUGAUAACUACUGCCCAGAGGACUGUCAAUAACUGACCAGUCACAUAAAAGAGCCAAAGAUGGAGUUACCAAAGUCAAGUCAAGAGCAUUAGGACGCCAAGAUGGAGAUCCUAUUGUGGUAGCUUGACCAUUAUUCAGAAUAACAAGACCAUUCUCAUCUAUAACCUCUAAAACAUCUUUACCUCGAGGCAAUGUAUCAACACAUCCCCACAACAUGUGAUGAGCAUUGAAAUCACCUGCAAAUAUCAUUGGCUCUGGAAUGGACUUAAUUAAACUGUUUAAAUUGUUUUUAUUAAAUGGAGGAUUUGAAUUGGAAGGACUGUAAAAACUCACAAUACUCAGUUCUUUGUUAUUAAUUUUAAUGCAAACAUUUUGUAGAGCACUAUCAUAAUAUGUAUUUAUGUUAGAAAAUGUGAUAUUAUUAUGAAUAAAAAUUGCUACACCA